CUUCAUGACUGACACCUCUCUGAUUCCAGCUGUGAACAUCAGACCAAACACAACUCACUAAACGUUUCCAUACUGAACAACCACAGCUUUCCCCUCUGUGAACAUGGAGAAACUGGCUGCAAUUCUGCUCUGUUCAGCUCUCAUAGGUAACAGCUUGGAAGAUGCUAUUACUGCCAUCAGUGCUGAAGUGUGUUCCUCAGAGGGCCGUAGUGUUACUCUGUCCUGUACAUAUUCAGUUCAAGCUAAUAAUCUCCAGUGGUACAGACAGGAUCCUGGAUCAGCUCCUCAGUUCCUCCUCCUGAUCACUGACACAACACAGCCUUACGUGGUGGAAGCAGAACCUCCAAUCCCUGGACUGAAAGCCACACUGAACAAGGAGAAAAAACAAGUGGAUCUGCAGAUCUCCUCUGCUGCAGUGACAGACUCUGCUGUGUACUACUGUGCUCUGAAGCCCACAGUGACAGGAAACACCAACACUCUGUACAAAAACCUCUGGAGCACAGACAACACAAUACUGCACAGCAUCCACCAGAGGGAGUCUCUCUCUGUCAGACUUUAG